rfam:Roseivivax isoporae LMG 25204 contig17, whole genome shotgun sequence.
CGCAGGGUCCGGGCCCCUCUGGCAACCGCAGGCAGCCGGUUGCGAUGUCGGAACCUUCGU